GGCUGCGCCAGCCCAGCCACGCUGGCUCGGAUAGCAGCAGGAUCCUGCUGCCGGGGCAGGCAGAGCGGGGGGCCUGCGAAAACUUCACUGGAAAAGGGGAAGCAGGAGAAAGUAAGCAGCAACCAGUGUGUGGUGGGGAGUCAGUUUUCCCCUUGGAGAUGAGUGUGCUUUCAGAGUCCUGGCUCUGCUGCCAUGAACCUUCUCCUGGUGAGGUGUGAAGCAGACAUUCCUCUGCCAACCUGAAUGAAAAGUGAUGCAGAAGCCCAGGUUUCCUUCCACAGGGUCAGAAGAGCAAGGAGGGCUGCACGGACCAGCUGAUGCCUGUGUUGGCCAGACUCUCCCCAUCUGGCAGAAGUGACUCACUGGUGGCAUGACCCAGGCGCUGUGAGGCUUGUUGAGCUCAGGGGGGGAGUUUGACUUCAGAUCCUCUAUUUCCUUGAAGAUUUGCCUUUAGUCCUUGCCUUACCCCAGCCCUCAUCUGCAUUUGCUAUCCAGCCUGGGCUGAAGUGGUCUGCCCCAGAUGCCUUCCCUUGUUUUGGGGGGUGUUUUGGGUGUUGCCAUUGCAGAGCUGAAGCUGCUGCCUCCACCUGGGGCUCAUUACAUGCUGCUUCCUCUCCAGCUGCCAGGGGCUGGACACAGAGCAGGGAAAUCGCACGCAAGGCGCUUGUAAAACCCUCAGCCCUGUCUGCCAUUGGAGUAAGAGCUGGCUGAGCCUCCCUCCCUGCAGGACGGGCUUCCUGCCCUAGGAAAUCCCCUGCUGUAAGGCAGCCCAGCAGAUCCACCUUGGGGAUCUCAAACUGUGGCCAGUCUGCACUGGCUGGGUACAGAAUGAGAGCUAUGGGUUUUCAGAAAACCCUAAUAAAACUUUUGAUUAUGCAUAAGAAAAAGAAAUAA